AUCCCUGCCCUCACAGGAAAUUUCAAUGCUGCCACUGGACUUGACACUAGCCGACUUGCUUGGUAUCACUGUUGAAAGGGAUUGAUGGGGCUCAGGGUCCACAGCCCCCAUUAAGGUAUCCUUCUUGGAGCCCUGAGUCUCACUGGACAUCUCAGAUUUCUCCAAUCCAGGGUAUGAAUGUUCACCACCAAGGAUCUCCUCAUCUUGGCUGCGACUCCUGGCACCAGCUUCUAUUUGAACCUGACCCACCACCUCAAAGACUGCUACAGCCCCUAUCAUGCACCCCUGACCAGC
rnacentral:lncRNA from 1 species